CUACGGGGUGCACCAGUGAGGAAUAUUGCGCAAUGGGGGAAACCCUGACGCAGCGACGCCGCGUGGAUGAUGAAGGCCUUAGGGUCGUAAAAUCCUGUCAGGUGGGAAGAAGUGGAUAUAGAUUAAUACUCUAUUUCUUUGACGGUACCACCAAAGGAAGCACCGGCUAACUCCGUGCCAGCAGCCGCGGUAAUACGGAGGGUGCAAACGUUGUUCGGAAUUACUGGGCGUAAAGCGCGCGUAGGCGGUUUGUUAAGUCAGAUGUGAAAGUCCAUGGCUCUACUAUGGAAGUGCAUUUGAAACUGGCAGACUUGAGUACUGGAGGGGGUGAUGGAAUUCCCGGUGUAGAGGUGAAAUUCGUAGAUAUCGGGAGGAAUACCGGUGGCGAAGGCGAUCACCUGGCCAGAUACUGACGCUGAGGUGCGAAAGCGUGGGGAGCAAACAGGAUUAGAUACCCGCGUAGUC
rnacentral:rRNA from 1 species